rnacentral:rRNA from 1 species
AAUCAACGCUGGCGGCGUGCCUAACACAUGCAAGUCGAACGCGAAAGCCCCUUCGGGGGUAAGUAGAGUGGCGUCCGGGUGAGUAACACGUAGGUAAUCUACCUUCGGGUGGGGAAUAACCAGUCGAAAGAUUGGCUAAUACCGCAUAAUGCAGCGGCACCUAAUGGUGAUUAGUUGUUAAAGCGGGGGAUCGUAAGACCUCGCGCCUGAAGAGGAGCCUGCGGCAGAUUAGCUAGUUGGGAGGU